GUUGCUGCUGAAAACAGUGCUGGCAUUGGAGUGUUUAGUGAUCCAUUUCUCUUCCAAACUGCAGAAAGUGCUCCAGGAAAAGUGGUGAAUCUCACAGUUGAGGCCUACAACGCUUCAGCAGUUAAGCUGAUUUGGUAUUUACCUCGGCAACCAAAUGGCAAAAUUACCAGCUUCAAGAUUAGUGUCAAGCAUGCCAGAAGUGGGAUAGUAGUGAAAGAUGUCUCAAUCAGAGUAGAGGACAUUUUGACUGGGAAAUUGCCAGAAUGCAAUGAGAAUAGUGAAUCUUUUUUAUGGAGUACAGCCAGCCCUUCUCCAACCCUUGGUAGAGUUACACCUCCAUCGCGUACCACACAUUCAUCAAGCACGUUGACACAGAAUGAGAUCAGCUCUGUGUGGAAAGAGCCUAUCAGUUUUGUAGUGACACACUUGAGACCUUAUACAACAUAUCUUUUUGAAGUUUCAGCUGCUACAACUGAAGCAGGUUAUAUUGAUAGUACGAUUGUCAGAACACCAGAAUCAGGUAUGGUUCACUUUUUGUAGAUAAAAAGAUUUAAAUGAUUAGAGAAUAAUGUUUAAUUUAUGUAGAUAUUUAAUUUUAAUCUUCUUUACCUUUCAGUAACUUUUUUCCCCUGGAAAAUCCAGUCACUCCCACCCGAAU
rnacentral:lncRNA from 10 species